GGCCUCAAGCUCUCCAUCCUCCUGUUUCAGCCUCCAGAGUGCUGAGGUUACAGGGUCCCCCCUCCUUCUGCUCUGCUGGCGCUCGACCCAGAAGGCAGAGUCUCUCAAUCAAGCCAGAGCCCACCAUUUGGCUGGUAUUGCUUCUCAACUUAUUCUAGGAACCUCCCUAAGCACGGAUCUAUCUCUAUUUCCUGUUUCUUCUUGGUCUUUUUGAGGUAGAGUCUCACUAUAUAGUCCAAAUUGGCCUGUUCCUGCCUCUGGGUGACUGGGGUUCCAUAUGUAGACCAUUAAGACUGCUUUUGCUGUCGUUUUAAAAGCUCCAAACAGCCUCAGUUUCCCUCUCUGGGAAACGAGGGUAAUGGUGCCUCCUGUAUCAGGCUAUGAUGGCGGUGGAAAGAUUCUGUGAUAACUUCACAGAGCCCGGCCAGAUGACAGCUGGUCCUGUGAUUGCAAGCAGGCAUGCCCUAGGGAGGAGGUGGUAGUUAAAGACCUGUUCUCGGGGAUCAACUGGAAAGCACACAGAACCCCCGAAGUAGCUGGCCCAGCUGAGCCCCACUCUCUUUACCACAUCCCUUCUCUCCUUCACUGAGGCUUAGGACCUCUAUCUCUAGAUAGUUCUAGUUCUUUCUCUGUAAUAAAUAUUUGUCAUCUGCAGCCUUAAUCAAUCACAGUGAGAGGCAUAUCUGUGAAGUGUGCAGCCAAGGUCCUUGGAAGGUCCUGGAGGCGAAGUUGGAGAGGAAGUACUGGCCUGAGGCCAAGGGCAGCAAAGAGUGAAAAGGGGCCGGGGACAGUGUACAGAGCAGUGGCUGGCUUGUCUCCACUAUCAGACUUUACUCCAGGAGGAGGCAGAGGCCGUGUGAGAGCCGUGCCGCUUCACCUGGCUCCUGACCUAUAUUGGAAGUGACAAACACGGGCUCCGAAAUGCUUACAAGGCACCUUGCCGGCAAGCACUGUGAAGUGAACAGAAAAUGAGACUAGAUGCUGAGCAAGUCCCACAAACUGUGUGCCCAAGCUCUGGACAGAGCAGAUAGACACAGUCUUCCUCUGAACUAUGCUUGCUGCAGUCCCUCCACCAGCAUGGAGAAGAAGCUCACAAGGACUGUCCUUCAAGCCUAUAUCCAUGCUCAGCUGUGCCAGCAUCUCUGGGCCUCAGGAACACCGAAGUCCUCAUUCUGAGCCAGGAACACAAUAGAAAUUUCGCAUGCAUGCUAGCAUUGAAGCCUGACAAUGACCACAUUGUCCCCAUUCCACGUGGCAAAGAGAAUAAAAAGACCAGGAGAUGGCAGAAGGACCGAGGACCUGGGGAGAAGACAGGAGGAGACUGGGGAGGGGGGGAGGGGGAAGGAACUGCUGCCUCUUUCCCAUGGAGAGAGAAAUGCCACAGGAUCCGGGCACUCCCUACAUCUCUCCACCUUCCGCCACCCCGUGAGCCUCUGCAGGGAGAUUUUUCUGAAUAAUGGGCCAUUUUCCUGUUUUAAUCAGAUGCAAUUUUGCAAGCAGUUUUUAUGAUUUAGCAAGUCCAUUAAAACUGGCGUUUGUUCUGCUCUGACACUCGAAAGGGGCUCUGCAGAGCAUAAACAUUGGAAAUUACUUAUAGGGAGAGACAAUAUUAAAAUUCCCCAGCCCAAGCCUGUUGUCUGAGAGAUUCUGCUAUCAAGCAUCAUGCCAGCUAUCAUCAGAGGCACUGGAGAUAUAUACUGCCUCCUCUUUAUACACUGGCUGGGGGCUCAGCAACUCAGGCAGCAAUAAAGAGGCUGCUGCUUUCCUUCAACACUUUAGGCAUCCGGAGAGGAAUGGGUCUUAAAGGGAACUUGCGGGAAGAGCAGGUCGCAAGUACAGGCUGGAGAGGAGAAGGGCCAGUGAGCAUGCCUUUAAGAGCCACUGUGGAAACUGCUUUCCGGCCCACAGUGAACAAUAGGGUCUAUUGGUCCAUAAUUAAGGAGGUUGUUUUUUGUCAAUUUCAUUUGUAGUCAAUUCUCAAUUAUCCAUGUACUAACAGAUGACCUGUUCAAAUAAAAAAACCCUCCCA